CCUACGGGGGGCAGCAGUGAGGAAUAUUGGUCAAUGGGCGGGAGCCUGAACCAGCCAAGUCGCGUGAGGGAAGACGGUCCUAUGGAUUGUAAACCUCUUUAGGCGGGGAGCAAUGCCGGGCACGUGUGCCCGGAGGGAGAGUACCCGCAGAAUAAGCAUCGGCUAACUCGGUGCCAGCAGCCGCGGUAAUACGGAGGAUGCGAGCGUUAUCCGGAUUUAUGGGGUUUAAAGGGUGCGUAGGCGAAUUUUUAAGUCAGCGGUAAAAUGUCCGGGCUCAACCCGGGCCUGCGGUUGAAACUGGGGAUCUUGAGUGGGCGAGAAGUAUGCGGAAUGCGUGGUGUAGCGGUGAAAUGCAUAGAUAUCACGCAGAACUCCGAUUGCGAAGGCAGCAUACCGGCGCCCGACUGACGCUGAGGCACGAAAGCGUGUGGAUCGAACAGGAUUAGAUACCCUAGUAGUC
rnacentral:rRNA from 1 species